ACGUAGGGGGCAAGCGUUAUCCGGAUUUACUGGGUGUAAAGGGAGCGUAGACGGCUUUGCAAGUCUGACGUGAAAAUCCGGGGCUCAACCCCGGAACUGCGUUGGAAACUGUGAGGCUUGAGUGCCGGAGAGGUAAGCGGAAUUCCUAGUGUAGCGGUGAAAUGCGUAGAUAUUAGGAGGAACACCAGUGGCGAAGGCGGCUUACUGGACGGUAACUGACGUUGAGGCUCGAAAGCGUGGGGAGCAAACAG
rnacentral:rRNA from 1 species